AAUGAACGCUGGCGGCGUGCUUAACACAUGCAAGUCGUGCGCGAAAGUGACUUCGGUCGCGAGUAGAGCGGCGAACGGGUGAGUAACACGUGGAUAACCUGCCUCGGAGCGGGGGAUAACUUGGGGAAACCUGAGCUAAUACCGCAUGACCUCGCGCCAUUUCGGUGGUGCGAGAAAAGAUGGCCUCUGCUUGCAAGCUAUCGCUCCUAGAGGGGUCCGCGGCUGAUUAGCUAGUUGGUGAGGUAAUGGCUCACCAAGGCGACGAUCAGUAGCCGGCCUGAGAGGGUGAUCGGCCACACUGGAACUGAGACACGGUCCAGACUCCUACGGGAGGCAGCAGUGGGGAAUAUUGGACAAUGGGCGCAAGCCUGAUCCAGCAACGCCGCGUGGAGGAUGAAGGCCUUCGGGUUGUAAACUCCUGUCAGGUGGAACGAACGAGUCUUGGCUAACAUCCAAGGCUCUUGACGGUACUACCAGAGGAAGCCCCGGCUAACUCCGUGCCAGCAGCCGCGGUAAUACGGAGGGGGCGAGCGUUAUUCGGAAUCAUUGGGCGUAAGGGCGCGUAGGCGGCCAGGCAAGUCAGGGGUGAAAUCCCUCGGCUCAACCGAGGAAUUGCCUCUGAAACUG
rnacentral:rRNA from 1 species